GCAGUGAACGCGCGCGCGUUCACGCUACCGCGCGCCCGAUCGCCCUCUGGUGGCGGUGAGGGAGGGGCGGCAUGUUGCUAAGCAACUUGAAGCCGACCGGUAAAGAAGCUCUGGACCACUAUGGCUAUAAUCCAUCCUGAGAUAUGAGGACCCAUCCCUUAGUCCUAGGCUAUUUCUUCAGUGCCAGGCUAUCCAUCUCUCCGCAAAUCCUCAUCCUUCAUCCAAGAAGUUAUGCAUGCAUUUACCCGAAACUCAACUGUUCAUUCGAGCCUUAAAUAUGUAUUGGGGUUUCCCACUUACCCUUGUCACGCUUCUAAGGUCCAAGGACACUGAAGAGAACAAGCAAAGAGGAGAACAACGCUGUAGCUCUCUAAUGUGGAAAAAGUGAAAAAAAAAAAGUCCAAACAUCUUCUACAUGGAGUCGAAAAAAAGGAUAAAUAUCACCGUUGAUGAAAUCAUCUUGUUUGGAACAGUGGGGAUGAAGCAGGUGUGGUAACCUCAUUCCCAUUCUCUUCUGCCCUGAAGUAGCUUCUCCAGCUUCCCUCAAAGUUGGAGGAUCUUGAACUCGGACCCUCUCCUCUCGCCGUCUUCAGUUUCUUCAGCAUCCAGGAUGCCUCCUGACAGUGGCUGAGUCCAACUGGCCUUGGGUCUAUUUCUCAGGCUCUCUUGGCCUCAGCGUGUUCAUCUGUAAAAGAACCUACUGAGGAGGAGACAAAGCCCCUGACUGGCCUCAAGCUCACCAAAUAAGGCAGGCUGCCCAGCCAGAGUUCCAGGGAUCCACUAGUUCCUGCCUCCAAGUGGCACCACAGUGUCCUAUCGCCCCAGAGAGACGCUGGCCUCAGAGCACAGCCAGGUUGUGGCAGGACUUGGAGCGGGCUUUGAGUGCCCGGCGUCGUGCGCUGCGUGCUGUCAGGCGUGCCAGGAAGCGGCGGGCACGCUGGCCCAAGCUGGCCCGCCGUCGAGGUGAAGGUGUCUCCGGGGCCGCAUUGUCUUGGCGGCGCAGGCGCAGUUGGCGCACCACACCUUCGAAGAGCUCUGUCACGUUGUGCUGCAGAGUGGCUGAGGUCUCGAUGAACUUGCAGUCGAACACCACAGCGCAGGCGCGGCCCUCUGAGGGGACAAAGCCAUAGCCAGAAGGCAGAGAGACUUCUCGGCAACGAGCCAGGUCGGCCUUGUUGCCCACCAGGAUGAUAGGCACAUGGGCGGCCUGGUGCGUGCGCCUCAGCUGGAUUCGGAGCUCGGAGGCACUCUCAAAGCUGCUGCGAUCUGCGAUGGAGUACACGAUGACAUAGGCGCUGCCCGCCUGCAGGCAUGACUCCUGGCUCCAGCUUUCAUCCUGCGGGGGAGGGACCCCAGGCCCAUCCUCAGAGGGUGCCUAUCCCUGGCUGGGAAAGAGGCUCUGUUGGUCUAAAGGGCAGAGUAGGAGAGGUUCUACUUGGAAUGGUUUUGGUGGACACAUUCUAUCAUAAUGCCCCGGGGCUACCUGGGGAAAACCAUGGAUUCUCUUGAGCCUCAGUUUCUUUCCUCAAAAGGCUGAUGGACACUUCCUUAUUUCCUUCCCACUGACUGUGGGGGCUCUGUCCUGCAAAUAAAGGAAUACCUUUGGCUGUUCA